UGGGGAAUAUUGCACAAUGGGCGCAAGCCUGAUGCAGCCAUGCCGCGUGUGUGAAGAAGGCCUUCGGGUUGUAAAGCACUUUCAGCGAGGAGGAAGGUGGUGAGCUUAAUACGCUCAUCAAUUGACGUUACUCGCAGAAGAAGCACCGGCUAACUCCGUGCCAGCAGCCGCGGUAAUACGGAGGGUGCAAGCGUUAAUCGGAAUUACUGGGCGUAAAGCGCACGCAGGCGGUUUGUUAAGUCAGAUGUGAAAUCCCCGGGCUCAACCUGGGAACUGCAUUUGAAACUGGCAAGCUAGAGUCUCGUAGAGGGGGGUAGAAUUCCAGGUGUAGCGGUGAAAUGCGUAGAGAUCUGGAGGAAUACCGGUGGCGAAGGCGGCCCCCUGGACGAAGACUGACGCUCAGGUGCGAAAAGCGUGGGGAGCAAAACAGGAUUAGAUACCCUGGUAGUCCACGCUGUAAAACGAUGUCGAUUUUGGAGGUUGUGCCCUUGAGGCGUGGCUUCCGGAGCUAACGCGUUAAAUCGACCGCCUGGGGAGUACGGCCGCAAGGUUAAAAACUCAAAAUGAAUUGACGGGGUCAUAGCUGUUUCCU
rnacentral:rRNA from 1 species